rnacentral:rRNA from 1 species
GACGAACGCUGGCGGCGUGCCUAAUACAUGCAAGUUGAGCGCUGAAGGUUGGUACUUGUACCAACUGGAUGAGCAGCGAACGGGUGAGUAACGCGUGGGGAAUCUGCCUUUGAGCGGGGGACAACAUUUGGAAACGAAUGCUAAUACCGCAUAAAAACUUUAAACACAAGUUUUAAGUUUGAAAGAUGCAAUUGCAUCACUCAAAGAUGAUCCCGCGUUGUAUUAGCUAGUUGGUGAGGUAAAGGCUCACCAAGGCGAUGAUACAUAGCCGACCUGAGAGGGUGAUCGGCCACAUUGGGACUGAGACACGGCCCAAACUCCUACGGGAGGCAGCAGUAGGGAAUCUUCGGCAAUGGACGAAAGUCUGACCGAGCAACGCCGCGUGAGGGAAGAAGGUUUUCGGAUCGUAAAACUCUGUUGGUAGAGAAGAAAGUUGGUGAGAGUGGAAAGCUCAUCAAGUGACGGUAACUACACAGAAAGGGACGGCUAACUACGUG